GCGCUUCGGCAGCACAUAUACUAAAAUUGGAACGAUACAGAGAAGAUUAGCAUGGCCCCUGUGCAAGGAUGACAAGAAAAUUCGUGAAGCAUUCCAUAUAUAU
rnacentral:snRNA from 1 species